rnacentral:misc_RNA from 1 species
ACAUCAAUCCCAUUAAUCCUACCCAAAUGAAACCCCUUUUCAUCCACCGAAUCGACAAAUUCCAACGACCCAUUAACCAAAUCAGCUGUAUAAAGCAACAGCGAACCCGAAAACGUGGAAGCAGCUAUAAGGGGUUUGUUGGGGUUAUGCGAAGUUGUCAAUGAAGUGAUCCUUGAUGGGGUUGUGAGUGAAGAUUGAAAUGUGAGUUCUGGUGUGUUUGAGCUUGAAUUUGAACUGUUUAAGAUUUGGAGUGAAGAAGUUGAGGAUUCGGAAUCGAAAGCUGCAAGGAUGAUGUGACGGUGGAAAGCAGAGAGCUGAGGGAGCCAACGGAGGGAGUCAAUGUAGUAAUCUUGAGGAAACCGGUGGACUUGGAGAUUUUGUGAAGAAGAAGUGAGUACUGCCAUUGUUGUGUGAGAAUUUGGAGAAAGAGAAGA